UACGUAGGGGGCAAGCGUUGUCCGGAAUCAUUGGGCGUAAAGAGCGUGUAGGCGGCUCGAUAAGUCCGCUGUGAAAGUCCAGGGCUCAACCCUGGAAGGCCGGUGGAAACUGUCGGGCUAGAGUCCGGAAGAGGCGAGUGGAAUUCCUGGUGUAGCGGUGAAAUGCGCAGAUAUCAGGAAGAACACCCGUGGCUAAGGCGGCUCUCUAGUACGGUACUGACGCUGAGACGCGAAAGCGUGGGGAGCGAACAGG
rnacentral:rRNA from 1 species